rnacentral:rRNA from 1 species
GGUUAAGCGAACAAGCGUACACGGUGGAUGCCCUGGCAGUCAGAGGCGAUGAAGGACGUGCUAAUCUGCGAAAAGCGCCGGUAAGGUGAUAUGAACCGUUAUAACCGGCGAUGUCCGAAUGGGGAAACCCGGUGCACUUCGGUGCAUCAUCGUUAGCUGAAUACAUAGGCUAACGAGGCGAACCGGGGGAACUGAAACAUCUAAGUACCCCGAGGAAAAGAAAUCAACCGAGAUUCCCCCAGUAGCGGCGAGCGAACGGGGAACAGCCCAGAGCCUGAAUCAGCUUGUGUGUCAGUGGAACGGUCUGGAAAGGCCGGCGAUACAGGGUGACAGCCCCGUACACGAAGGCACACAGGCUGUGAGCUCGAUGAGUAGGGCGGGACACGUGAUAUCCUGUCUGAAGAUGGGGGGACCAUCCUCCAAGGCUAAAUACUCCUGACUGACCGAUAGUGAACCAGUACCGUGAGGGAAAGGCGAAAAGAACCCCGGCGAGGGGAGUGAAACAGAACCUGAAACCGUGUACGUACAAGCAGUGGGAGCCUUCGUAAGAGGGUGACUGCGUACCUUUUGUAUAAUGGGUCAGCGACUUAUAUUCUGUAGCAAGGUUAACCGUAUAGGGGAGCCGAAGGGAAACCGAGUCUUAAUUGGGCGUUAAGUUGCAGGGUAUAGACCCGAAACCCGGUGAUCUAGCCAUGGGCAGGUUGAAGGUUGGGUAACACUAACUGGAGGACCGAACCGACUAAUGUUGAAAAAUUAG